rnacentral:rRNA from 1 species
UACGGAGGGUGCAAGCGUUAAUCGGAAUCACUGGGCGUAAAGCGCACGUAGGCUGUUAUGUAAGUCAGGGGUGAAAUCCCACGGCUCAACCGUGGAACUGCCCUUGAUACUGCACGACUCGAAUCCGGGAGAGGGUGGCGGAAUUCCAGGUGUAGGAGUGAAAUCCGUAGAUAUCUGGAGGAACAUCAGUGGCGAAGGCGGCCACCUGGACCGGUAUUGACGCUGAGGUGCGAAAGCGUGGGGAGCAAACAGG